UAGUUUACCCUUUCUUAAAAAUUCUCACUUAGGAGAGUAAGGUGAGAGGACCCCCACUUUCCACCGAGCUUCGAAGACAAAAAUAAUGGAUUUCUCAGUUAUCCAAGCAAUAUAUUUAUAAAAAAUAACUCACUUUUUUGGGUGUAUACCAGCUUGUGCCUAGCUCUUCAGACUCGACAUGUCAGACCGAGGUCAGUAGGUGCAGGGUUUGGGAGCUUUGGAAGUAAGAACCUUGCCUGUUUGGAUGGUGCACGGUUGGUAUGUCAGAUUUUGGUGGAUUGCUGGUUGGUGUCAAUGAGAGAGAAGCUAGUCUACCUAUCUGAUCGGAGAUUUCUCUUACAAAGUUCUGCUACAUGCGAUGAUGAUGAGCAGUUUCCAAAUAUUAAAUGUGUAAGUAAGUGGAUAUCAUGGCAGCAGUUAACAUGUCUUCCUGAAAAUUCUUCAAUGGGAUUUUGCAUGAGAUCAUGGAGUAGUAGUAGUUAUCAGGGGGUAACUAUGGAUGUUGUAUGGAAAUAAGUAUGUGAUUAUGCAUGCAUAUGGUUAUCUCAACUUUUGAUUUGUUUCAAUGUCAACUAGUGGCAAUAUCCUGUCAUGUAUGUUAUUUGAAUUUGUUAUGCUGCUUGUGAUCCAGUUACAAAUUGUUGUUGGAUAAUUAGUGUUCGGUCAUCUGUAUCUUGGUAUGGCAUUUUCCCAAGCUGAGAAUGCCCAAACCUUUUGUUUCGCUAGGCACCCUGUUGUCUUUGUUUCCGGUAUGUGCAUCAUGCCUUUUCGUUCUUCAAUGUUUUAAGUGUCGUAUUCUGGCCUUGAUUUUGCCAGUAGCAAGCAUUGGUUCUCUGUUAUGAUGCUGUAAAUAUCUCCAGUGCUAUCCAAGUUGGGGGCCAACAGUCAGCAAGAUUAACUAGUAUAGUCUGUUAUGAUUCAGUUACAGAUUGUUGUUGGAUAAUUAGUGUUUGGUCAUCUGUAUCUUGGUAUGGCAUUUUCCCAAGCUGAGAGAAUGCCCAAACCUUUUGUUUCGCUAGGCACCCUGUUGUCUUUGUUUCUGGUAUGUGCAUCAUGCCUUUUCGUUCUUCAAUGUUGUGUCGUAUUCUGGCCUUGAUUUUGCCAGUAGCAAACAUUGGCUCUGUUAUGAUGCUGUAAAUAUCUCCAGUGCUAUCCAAGUUCGGGGCCAACAGUCAGCAAGAUUAACUAGUAUAGUCUUAUCCGGUCAAAGGAAAAUCCUUUUCGCUUGAAUUCUCUUUGUAUUAUAUAUUUGCAGUUUUACUAAAAUUGAUU
rnacentral:lncRNA from 1 species